rnacentral:rRNA from 1 species
UACGGGGGGUGCGAGCGUUGUCCGGAAUCACUGGGCGUAAAGGGCGCGUAGGUGGCCUGAUAAGGGUGUGGUGAAAGUCCGGGGCUCAACCCCGGAUCUGCCGUGCCGACUGUUGGGCUGGAGUACUGUAGGGGCAGGCGGAAUUCCGGGUGUAGCGGUGGAAUUCGUAGAGAUCCGGAGGAAGACCGGUGGCGAAGGCGGCCUGCUGGGCAGUUACUGACACUGAGGCGCGACAGCGUGGGGAGCAAACAGG